rnacentral:lncRNA from 1 species
CUGGGAUUACAGGCGUAAGCCACCACGCCUGGCCCUUUUUUACAGUUUUAUUGAGAUAUAAUUUAUAUAUGCCUUUUGAUAUUGUCCCACAGGUCCCUGAGGCUUUGCUUAUUGAUUUUUCAAUCUAUAAUGUGUUUCUCAGAUUAGAUGCUAUCUAUUAUCUAUCUUCAAGUUCAUCAACUCUUCCUCUGUCAUCUGCAAUUUGCUAUUGAGCCCAUCCAGUGAAUUUUUGAGUAUGCUAUUUUUUAGGUCUAAAAUUUUCAUUUAGGUUUUUUAAAAAUAAUUUCUAACUAGGUGGUGGCCACUGCACAAACUAGAUUCUGCUCACUCUGGGCCUCACUCCACUUCCUCUGUGACAGAUCAUAUGACACAUGAUAUGUCAAGACAUAUCAUGUCUGACAAACCUGAUAUGGCUGAGAUCAAGAAAUUUGAUGUCAAAAAUAGAAGAAGACAGAAUUGCAAGAGAAAAAUCCACUGCCUUCCGAAGAAACAAUAGAACAGGAGAAGCAGGCAGACAAAUCUUACGGAGGCAUGCGCCGCCAAUAUGCACUGUACAUUCAACGAGAAUUGCCUUCUUAUUUUACUUAUUUUAGCUGUUAAUUUUGUAAGAUGCAAAGAGGUUGGAUCAACUUUUAAAGGACUUUGCUGCCCUUUUCACAUCAAACAAUAGAAAACUGCUGACGAUGAAGGCCACACCUACCUCUCCCAUCUGCUUGUCUGGCUGUCAAGGAAGGAAAAUAACUUGCAUGUUGGUGAAGGAAGAAGAAGAGUAGGAAGACAGGUAAAUCUAGAGUAAAACCAAGCUGCCCCAAGGUGUCCUGCAGGUUCUCAAAUGCAGUUUAAAUGAAGUUUAAUUAGAGUGCCAUUUUUCUUGUUCAAAUGAUUUUAAUUAUUAGAAUGCAC